rnacentral:rRNA from 1 species
UACGGAGGGAGCAAACGUUGCUCGGAAUCAUUGGGCGUAAAGCGCACGUAGGCGGCGGCAUAAGCGGGAUGUGAAAGCCCAGUGCUCAACCUUGGAAGUGCAUCCCGAACUGUGUCGCUUGAAUCUCGGAUGGGGACAGAGAAUUCCCGGAGUAGAGGUGAAAUUCGUAGAUAUCGGGAUGAAUACCAGUGGCGAAGGCUCUGUCCUGGACGAAGAUUGCCGCUGAGGUGCUUAGACGUGGGGAGCAAACAGG